rnacentral:rRNA from 1 species
CCUACGGGAGGCAGCAGUGAGGAAUAUUGGUCAAUGGACGAGAGUCUGAACCAGCCAAGUAGCGUGAAGGAUGACUGCCCUUUGGGUUGUAAACUUCUUUUAUAAAGGAAUAAAACGAGGCACGUGUGCCUUUUUGCAUGUACUUUAUGAAUAAGGAUCGGCUAACUCCGUGCCAGCAGCCGCGGUAAUACGGAGGAUCCGAGCGUUAUCCGGAUUUAUUGGGUUUAAAGGGAGCGUAGAUGGGUUGUUAAGUCAGUUGUGAAAGUUUGCGGCUCAACCGUAAAAUUGCAAUUGAUACUGGCAGUCGUGAGUACAGUUGAGGUAGGCGGAAUUCGUGGUGUAGCGGUGAAAUGCUUAGAUAUCACGAAGAACCCCGAUUGCGAAGGCAGCUUACUAAACUGUGACUGACAUUGAUGCUCGAAAGUGUGGGUAUCAAACAGGAUUAGAUACCCCUGUAGUC